UUAAUUAACAGGUUCUACGGUGGCAUUUUCCUAUUAUAUUUUGUAUCUUCAACCGGAGCGACUUGUAUGCAGAUCUACAUCUCCACAUUAAAUGAACUGCCUCUGGUUAAUAGAGUUAAAAAUUGGUUGUACUGUAACGAACAGUUGGCUCAAUCCGUCUUAUAUUGCACUUUGGCGGAGCUGACUUCAGGAGCAGCCUUCAGUAUUGGAUAUGCUGUCUACAGUUCUAAAUGGUAUGAAAUUAAAAUUCCACAGUACAGAAAAUCUUUAGUGGUGGUUAUGUCCAAGGCUCAA